UUUGCUCUCUCCCUCUGUUCUUUUCUUCUUCUUCCCACAACCGAGAGCCUCAAAGGCUAAUCACAUCGCCACUCGCACCAUCGGCCACCAUGACCGACGCUUGACCACCGCCCCAAUGGCCUCCAUAUGCGAAUGAAAACAACCCUUAUGAAGCCUUAAGUUGCGGCCUUUCUCUUAACCUUUCUCUUUGGCCGAGACCUCAUCUACUCUCCACUCACACAAAUGACGAUUGUACACCAAGAUCCCACAACUCGUCGAUAACGAAUAUUGUGAAGGUAAGUAUCACUCAAACCUUUCAUUUUCUUCUUCAACCGAAAGUUUUGAAAUCCUCUACACCGUUUCUCUCCUCUCUACUCUGGUGAAGAUCCAAACACAACAAAGGUAAAUAGAUCUUUCUCUCGUUUCUAUUUCAUUUUUAUUUUAGAAUCUGAACCGAUGAACUAACCCCUAACUCCUAUACAAGGUUUCUCGAGCAACCUUCAAUGCUUCGAUCUCAAGCCUGGUGUCUCAAAUCGCAGGAUCCAGCUGUGAGAGGGAAGGCAUCUAGUCAGUCUAAAUUUAGAGUCCUAUUUUCGAAGGCCCAAAUUACAAACCAGACCGGAGGCCCAAUUACAACCCAUACUAGCCUAGACCCAACAAACCCAACUUGGUCCAGGCCCAGUUACAAAUAGAAACCCUAAAUUGAUUAGGGUUUGUAUCACAAGCUUCUAGCCGUCGUCGUUCGUGAAGACCCCAGCCGUUUCCAGAUGCUUCCAGCCGCCUCUGAUGAUUCUAGGUGUCUCCUCUCGCCAUUGUCGACGGUCAGCCGCCCCACGUCGACGCUUCAACUGCCAGGUGACCCAAUCCGCUGCAACCACGACGACGCCGACUCGAUGAAACUUCCAGAAGAGCCAGUUGCCCCUCCAACUCGCAGCUACCAAGGUGAGUCACCACAUAGCCCGGUGACUCACCGAGAAGCCCCUCUGUGACCGGUCCAUACCGAGCACCAUGGUGGCUAUAAAAGCCACCACCACCUGCAAAAUAAAAACAAAAGAGACAACAUCUGAAAACACAGACUGAAACAGAAAAGACGGCGAGCAGUAGCCAAAAAAAGAGAGAUACAGAGAGUAACCACAACAACCAGUAGACAACAGAAAUCAAAAGAAGAGAGAGGAGAGAAACUUACCUAGGAAACCAUAGCCAUCGGAGCCUCCUUGUAUUGUCGGAAAGCCGAAAGUCGAAGGUAAAAAAAACUUAGAUCUAGGUCGAUUUAAGGGGAUUUAGGGUAAAAGGAGGCCAGAUUUGGCCUUUAGGAGUUGAGAUCUUUAAUUUGGUGUAGUUUGGUAAUCUCCGACCACCGGAGACGGCGGCCGGCGGUGACGAUCGGCGCCGGAAACAGUGACCAACGGUGGUCGAUUUUCUCCUCAGUUGAGAGAAAACGAGAGCUUGCAAAAUAGAAAAUGAGAGAAAAAUGGCCAAGGGGCCAGUUUA